rnacentral:rRNA from 1 species
AGAGCGCAAGGGGAAUGCCUUGGCAUCGAGAGCCGAAGAAGGACGUGACAAGCUGCGAUAAGUCUGGGGGAGCCGCACAUAGGCUUUGAUCCCGGAAUUUCCGAAUGGGGAAACCCGGCAGAGCAAUACUCUGUCAGCGUGCGUUGAAUAAAAUAGGCGUACGCGGGGAACCGCCUGAACUGAAACAUCUAAGUAGGGCGAGGAAGAGAAAUCAACCGAGAUUCCGCAAGUAGUGGCGAGCGAACGCGGAAGAGGGCAAACCAGAGGAUUUAUUCUCUGGGGUUGUGGACUUGCACACGGGAGACUAGGUUAGCUGAAUGGUAUGGGAAGGCCAUCCACAGAGGGUGAGAGACCCGUAAGCGAAAACCGAAGUCUUUCAGCGAGGAUCCAGAGUACCGCCGGACACGUGAAACCCGGUGGGAAGCAGGGGGGACCACCCUCCAACCCUAAAUACUACUCGAUGACCGAUAGAGGAGCAGUACCGUGAGGGAAAGGUGAAAAGGACCCCGGGAGGGGAGUGAAAGAGAACCUGAAACCUUGUGCUUACAAGCACUCAAAGCACGUUAAAGUGUGAUGAGGUACUUUUUGUAGAACGGUCCGGCGAGUUAUUGUAUGUAGCGAGCUUAAGGUGUUCAGCACCGGAGGCGAAGCGAGAGCGAGUCUGAAUAGGGCGACUGAGUUGCAUGCAAUAGACCCGAAACCAGGUGACCUAUCCAUGGGCAGGUUGAAGUGGGGGUAAAACCCCAUGGAGGACCGAACCGACCCCCGUUGCAAUGGUGGCGGAUGACCUGUGGAUAGCGGAGAAAUUCUAAUCGAACUUGGAGAUAGCUGGUUCUCCCCGAAAUAGCUUUAGGGCUAGCGUUGAUUUAGAUUACCGGAGGUAAAGCACUGAAUGGGCUAGGGGCUGAUAAAGUUACUGAACCCUAUCAAACUAAGAAUGCCGGCAAAUUGAUGAUCAGCAGUCAGACUACGUGAGAUAAGUCUCGUGGUCAAAAGGGAAACAGCCCAGACCCACAGCUAAGGUCCCAAAUAUACGCUAAGUGGAAAACGAUGUGGAAUUGCGAAAACAACCAGGAUGUUGGCUUAGAAGCAGCCACUCAUUAAAAGAGUGCGUAAUAGCUCACUGGUCGAGUGGUUCUGCGCGGAAAAUGUAACGGGGCUAAGCGUAUAACCGAAGCUUGGGAUGCAGCAAUGCAUGGUAGGGGAGCGUCGAAUACGGGGUGAAGUCGUAGCGGAAGCAGCGGUGGACUGUAUUCGAGUGAGAAUGCCGGAAUGAGUAGCGAGAAUUAUGUGGGAAUCAUAAUGGCCGAAAAUCUAAGGUUUCUUGGGGAAGGUUCGUCCGCCCAAGGUAAGCCGGGAGCUAAGGCGAGGCCGAAAGGCGUAGUCGAUGCACAUACGGUUGAAAUUCCGUAGCCACCGAAACUUAAACCAGAAGGACACUUGGAGCUAUCCGAACCCGGGCGUUGGUUGACCCGGGCGUAAGGGACCGAAAUUAAGUAGGGAAGUCGGAGAAUGACGAGGCGAGAAAAGUUCUGGUGUAUGCUAAGGUGCCCGUACCGCAAACCGACACAGGUAGAUGAGGAGAGAAUCCUAAGGCCAACGGGAGAAGGGUUGUUAAGGAACUCGGCAAAAUUACCCCGUAACUUCGGGAUAAGGGGAGCCCCCUACGGGGGGCCGCAGAGAAUAGGCCCAAGCGACUGUUUACCAAAAACACAGGUCUAUGCUAAAUCGAAAGAUGACGUAUAUGGGCUGACGCCUGCCCGGUGCUGGAAGGUUAAGAGGAGAGCUUAGCGCAAGCGAAGGUUUGAAUUGAAGCCCCAGUAAACGGCGGCCGUAACUAUAACGGUCCUAAGGUAGCGAAAUUCCUUGUCAGGUAAGUUCUGACCCGCACGAAUGGCGUAACGAUUUGGGCGCUGUCUCAACAGCCCACCCGGCGAAAUUGUAGUACUGGUGAAGAUGCCAGUUACCCGCAACUAGACGGAAAGACCCCAUGGAGCUUUACUGUAGCUUAAUACUGAGGAUUGGUAAUUGAUGUACAGGAUAGGUGGGAGACAUGGAAACAUUGGCGUCAGCCAGUGCGGAGUCACCCUUGGGAUACCACCCUUCAAUUGCUGGUUUUCUAACCUGCGGCCGUGAAUCCGGUCGGGGGACACUGUUAGGUGGGCAGUUUGACUGGGGCGGUCGCCUCCAAAAAGGUAACGGAGGCGCUCAAAGGUUCGUUCAGCACGGACGGAAAUCGUGCAGU